rnacentral:rRNA from 1 species
GACGAACGCUGGCGGCGUGCUUAACACAUGCAAGUCGAACGAUAAGAGACUGGCUUUGUGCUGUGGACUAGUGGCGAACGGGUGAGUAACACGUGAGCAAUCUGCCCCUGACUCUGGGAUAACUACGGGAAACUGUGGCUAAUACCGGAUAUGCGCCGCUCAGGCAUGUGUGUCGUUGGUAAAUAACGUCGGUCGGGGAUGGGCUCGCGGCCUAUCAGCUUGUUGGUGAGGUAGCGGCUCACCAAGGCGACGACGGGUAGCCGGCCUGAGAGGGUGACCGGCCACAUUGGGACUGAGAUACGGCCCAGACUCCUACGGGAGGCAGCAGUGGGGAAUAUUGCACAAUGGGCGCAAGCCUGAUGCAGCAACGCCGCGUGCGGGAUGACGGCCUUCGGGUUGUAAACCUCUUUUGGCAGUGAAGAAGCGAGAGUGACGGUAACUGCAGAAAAAGCGCCGGCUAACUACGUG